UUUUAUUUUGUUCCAAGAAGAAUUCAGAAAGGGUUAUUUAAUUAUGGCUUUCUGAAAAACAAUAAUUUUUUUACAUUUAGGCACUGCUGCAAUCGUCACACUUUUUCUGUUACAAACUGACCCGGCCCCUCAUCAGAGAAGGGAAAAGUCAUGUGGCCUUCACAGGAAAAGGUUUGGGGACCCCUGCUUUAGAGUGUUUGUCAUCUGCCCUUCCAUUUGCUUUUCUUCAUGUGCAGUGCUCCCCCUCCAUGUUUGAUCAAACUGCACUGAUAAUUUGAAAUUGUUUUAAAAUGCAUUAAUCGCAAAAAUCAGAGGACUAGAUCACAUUUCCCCCUGUUAUUUCACCACUUUAACUUUGGUCUAACCUAAUAUAGGAAUACAGAUAGAAAGAGUGCAGAGAUCACACUCGACGCCAUAACAACCUGGCUGAAGCAAAUGGUCAAAAGUCCACACAUACCUCAGUCUCAGCAAUUACAGGUCAACCAAAGCAGUAUUCUCUAAUGCAGUGGACUUGCAAGUACUGCACAUUUUCUGCUGAAAAGAGCCUACUUGCUUAAGCAUUACCGCUUAAAACAUGGAUACCACACUCGGACAUCCCAACUCCCAUGUCUUCAUAAGGACUGCCUCUGCACAUUUAAAUCUUUUAAUGCACUCAAAGUACACCUAUCGACAUGGCACUCUCAAAAAGAUGCAGGCAAAAGUGGAGAAACUGCAUUUGACCGUCAGUUGUGCAACUUUGUGGAGCCCUGCUCAGAAGCAGACUUCUUUACCCAUUUGUCUCAAAUAUUUUUUCACAUUCAAACCUUUUUUUCUACAAUUGUUUUUUUUUGUUUUUGUUUUUGU